GUUUAAUUAGUAUAAUUAGUACAUUUAAUUUCCAAUUAAAAAGUUUAAACUAAAUUAAACA
rnacentral:tRNA from 1 species